rnacentral:rRNA from 1 species
CGGCGUGCUUAACACAUGCAAGUCGAACGGAAAGGCCCUGCUUUUGUGGGGCGCUCGAGUGGCGAACGGGUGAGUAACACGUGAGUAACCUGCCCUUGACUUUGGGAUAACUUCAGGAAACUGGGGCUAAUACCGGAUAGGAGCUCCUGCUGCAUGGUGGGGGUUGGAAAGUUUCGGCGGUUGGGGAUGGACUCGCGGCUUAUCAGCUUGUUGGUGGGGUAGUGGCUUACCAAGGCUUUGACGGGUAGCCGGCCUGAGAGGGUGACCGGCCACAUUGGGACUGAGAUACGGCCCAGACUCCUACGGGAGGCAGCAGUGGGGAAUAUUGCACAAUGGGCGGAAGCCUGAUGCAGCAACGCCGCGUGCGGGAUGACGGCCUUCGGGUUGUAAACCGCUUUCGCCUGUGACGAAGCGUGAGUGACGGUAAUGGGUAAAGAAGCACCGGCUAACUACGUGCCAGCAGCCGCGGUGAUACGUAGGGUGCGAGCGUUGUCCGGAUUUAUUGGGCGUAAAGGGCUCGUAGGUGGUUGAUCGCGUCGGAAGUGUAAUCUUGGGGCUUAACCCUGAGCGUGCUUUCGAUACGGGUUGACUUGAGGAAGGUAGGGGAGAAUGGAAUUCCUGGUGGAGCGGUGGAAUGCGCAGAUAUCAGGAGGAACACCAGUGGCGAAGGCGGUUCUCUGGGCCUUUCCUGACGCUGAGGAGCGAAAGCGUGGGGAGCGAACAGGCUUAGAUACCCUGGUAGUCCACGCUGUAAACGGUGGGUACUAGGUGUGGGGUCCAUUCCACGGGUUCCGUGCCGUAGCUAACGCUUUAAGUACCCCGCCUGGGGAGUACGGCCGCAAGGCUAAAACUCAAAGGAAUUGACGGGGCCCCGCACAAGCGGCGGAGCAUGCGGAUUAAUUCGAUGCAACGCGUAGAACCUUACCUGGGUUUGACAUGGAUCGGGAGUGCUCAGAGAUGGGUGUGCCUCUUUUGGGGUCGGUUCACAGGUGGUGCAUGGCUGUCGUCAGCUCGUGUCGUGAGAUGUUGGGUUAAGUCCCGCAACGAGCGCAACCCUUGUUCACUGUUGCCAGCACGUUAUGGUGGGGACUCAGUGGAGACCGCCGGGGUCAACUCGGAGGAAGGUGGGGAUGACGUCAAGUCAUCAUGCCCCUUAUGUCCAGGGCUUCACGCAUGCUACAAUGGCUGGUACAGAGAGUGGCGAGCCUGUGAGGGUGAGCGAAUCUCGGAAAGCCGGUCUCAGUUCGGAUUGGGGUCUGCAACUCGACCUCAUGAAGUCGGAGUCGCUAGUAAUCGCAGAUCAGCAACGCUGCGGUGAAUACGUUCCCGGGGCUUGUACACACCGCCCGUCAAGUCAUGAAAGUUGGUAACACCCGAAGCCGGUGGCCUAACCGUUGUGGGGGAGCCGUCGAAGGUGGGACUGGUGAUUAGGAC